UUGAUUCUUGGAGAGAAUUUUUGUAUUUAGUUGAAGAAGGAAAAGAAAAAGAAAAAGCAGAAUAUCAUGAUGAGAGAAGAGGAAUUGAAAAGCAGAACAGAGCAACAAGGGCACAGAGAAUAAAAGAAGAAACGAACAGAAUAAGAACAUUAGUUUACAAUGCAUAUAGAUGUGAUCCAAGGAUAAAAAAAUGAAAGAAGAAGAAAAAGCCAAGAAAGAAGCAGAAAAGAAAGCAAAAGCAGAAGCCAAAUGGAAGGAGCAAGAAGCUAAAGAAAAACAAAGACAAGCUGAAUCAGAACCUGCUUGAUUAGCUAAGGAGAGAGAAGAAGAGGAAGUUAGACAGAAAGCAUUGUUGGCAAAGAAGGCAAAAGAUAUCCACAAAAAUGCCAUCAAACGGGAAAGGCAAAAACUCCGAAACUCAUGCAAGACCUGGGAUCACUUUUCUGACAAUGAGGCCGAGUGAGUUAAAAUGAUGGGAGAAGUGGAAAACUUUGUGAUCGACUUAAACUCCCAAGCUUACAGUGCUUCAGUGAAACACAGCAUCUGCAAAAGAAGUAGGAAACACUGCUCUGGAAAAUCAGAUCAAAGAAAUAAAUGAGCAAAUUAGAAAAGAGAAAGAGGAAGCUAAAAAUCAAUUGGCAGAGGUGGAAAUGGCAGUAAAAGUUGGUCAGAAGAUGAACUGCAAUUACUAAUUAAAGCGGUGAAUCUUUUCUCUGCUGGAAUAAAUUAGUUAUUGCUAAUUACAUGAGCAUACAUUCUUCUUCUGGAGUCAAAAGAACCACCAAAGAUGUUACUGGCAAAGCAAAGAGUCUCCAAAAACUUGACCCUCCUCAAAAAGACGAUAUAAAUAAAAAGGCAUUUGAUAAAUUUAAAAAAGAACGUGGAGUGGCACCUCAUGCAGACAGUGCAACACCUUCAGAACGAUUUGAAGGUCCACACACAGAUUUCACCCCACGGACAACAGAACAGAACUUUUGGAACAAGCUUUGAAAAUAUACCCAGUAAAUACACCUGAAAGAUGGGGGAAAAGGUAGCAGAAGCGGUGCCUGGCAGGACAAAGAAGGACUGCACAAAAUGAUGUAAGGAAGAGAGAUGGUAAGGGCAAAGAAAGCUGCUCAAGAGCAAGUGCUGAAUGCAGUUAGAGCCAGGAAUGACAUGACAAUCUGUGUUGACCUGGGCCCGGUCUUCAAGGACGACGCCGGAGCAACGUCCUCUUUUGCCUGCGUGAUCUGCGCCCUCCAACAACUCCGAGGCAAGCUGGCUCCACACCACCGUGUCAACCUCACGUGA